rnacentral:rRNA from 1 species
CCUACUGGUGACAUCAUUGAGGAGUAUUGGUCAAUGGACGAGAGUCUGAACCAUCCCAGUAGCUUUCCGUCUUCCUUCCCUCUUUUUUUUCCCCUUCUUUUCUCUUUUAAUAAAAUGUUCCACGUGUGGGAUUUUGUAUGUACCAUAUGAAUAAGGAUCGGCUAACUCCGUGCCAGCAGCCGCGGUAAUACGGAGGAUCCGAGCGUUAUCCGGAUUUAUUGGGUUUAAAGGGAGCGUAGGUGGAUUGUUAAGUCAGUUGUGAAAGUUUGCGGCUCAACCGUAAAAUUACAGUUGAAACUGGCAGUCUUGAGUACAGUAGAGGUGGGCGGAAUUCGUGGUGUAGCGGUGAAAUGCUUAGAUAUCACGAAGAACUCCGAUUGCGAAGGCAGCUCACUGGACUGCAACUGACACUGAGGCUCGAAAGUGUGGGUAUCAAACAGGAUUAGAUACCCGAGUAGUC